UCACUUCGGUGGUGGAUUAGUGGCGAACGGGUGAGUAACACGUGGGCAAUCUGCCCUUCACUCUGGGACAAGCCCUGGAAACGGGGUCUAAUACCGGAUACCACUUCGUCCCGCAUGGGACGGGGUUGAAAGCUCCGGCGGUGAAGGAUGAGCCCGCGGCCUAUCAGCUUGUUGGUGGGGUAAUGGCCUACCAAGGCGACGACGGGUAGCCGGCCUGAGAGGGCGACCGGCCACACUGGGACUGAGACACGGCCCAGACUCCUACGGGAGGCAGCAGUGGGGAAUAUUGCACAAUGGGCGAAAGCCUGAUGCAGCGACGCCGCGUGAGGGAUGACGGCCUUCGGGUUGUAAACCUCUUUCAGCAGGGAAGAAGCGCAAGUGACGGUACCUGCAGAAGAAGCGCCGGCUAACUACGUGCCAGCAGCCGCGGUAAUACGUAGGGCGCAAGCGUUGUCCGGAAUUAUUGGGCGUAAAGAGCUCGUAGGCGGCUUGUCACGUCGGAUGUGAAAGCCCGGGGCUUAACCCCGGGUCUGCAUUCGAUACGGGCUAGCUAGAGUGUGGUAGGGGAGAUCGGAAUUCCUGGUGUAGCGGUGAAAUGCGCAGAUAUCAGGAGGAACACCGGUGGCGAAGGCGGAUCUCUGGGCCAUUACUGACGCUGAGGAGCGAAAGCGUGGGGAGCGAACAGGAUUAGAUACCCUGGUAGUCCACGCCGUAAACGUUGGGAACUAGGUGUUGGCGACAUUCCACGUCGUCGGUGCCGCAGCUAACGCAUUAAGUUCCCCGCCUGGGGAGUACGGCCGC
rnacentral:rRNA from 1 species